UUUCAGGUCGUUUUAUUGACAUGACGAAUUUUUGUUUUCUGUAGUAAGACAGAAAAUGAAUAACAACAAUUUCUACCCUUCCUUUAGAUAGGGGAGUAACUCCUUUUUCUCCUAAAGGUAAUCUUAAAUAAAAUAGAGUGAGCUGGAGAUUGCUGAACUACAGGUGGUGCCCAGCGUGAAACUACCUGCUGCUUCAAGCAGUGCCUGGAGGGAAAGGUUCUAUUAUGUCGCUCUCAGCAGCUACCCCCAGUACCAACUUCCAGCAGCUGUUCCUUCAAUAGUGACCCUAGUGGAAAACAGUCUUUCCAGUAACGGCUUCAGCUUCCAAUGGUUUUUUCAGUUGGCAGGAGUGGAUUCAACCAGUAGCUCUGCUCUGAUAGAGGCUUCUGGUCUUUCAUCUGUCAGACAAUUGAGGGUAAUGAGAGUGAUUCCUUUUGCAUGUUCCUUGAUAUUCCUGUGGUACUUACAUAUUAAGACCACUCAACAGCUCCCUCCAUCCCCAAGCUGUGUGCUCCUUCAGUCUUUGGAAACGUGGCUGUUCGGGGGAGGAGCAAGUGAAGGAAUCUUGGGCAGUAUUUGGGGGGCUCAAAAUUAUCUAGAGUUUGUGUUUGUGUCCGUUUUCAGGAACAGGGAUCUUGCUUUGUGACUUCAUCACUUACCUCCUCACUUACCUGUCCUAGCACAUAGAUGACCCUUUGUUCUAAUUCUCUGACCUGCUCCUCAUUCUAAAGUUGGGUGUUUAUCCCCAGUGAAAUGCUCCUGUUCCACCUUGCUUUUGCCCUUCUUGCAGGGUGAAGACUUCUUUCUCUGAUGCUCUAAAGACACAGUUCCGGGAAACUGGAUUCAGGCCUUUCCUUGAGGCCUUAAAUCCUGCUUCUGAACAGUUACCCGCAAAGGCAGGCAAAGUAGUCUUAUGGAUUUAAAUUACCAGCUGGGGUCACUUGCUUUCAGCUUGAAGAACUUUCUUUAGUAUUUCUUUUAAGACACCACCUUCUCAAGCUCAUCAAUAAAAACCUUCACCGCAGGACUGGCAACCUGUUUCUCUGGGACCCCUCUCUGCUGGAGAUAGCUCUUCUCUUUCUUUCACCUCUUAAACUUUCACUGCUGAUCUCACUCUCCGAUACAACGAUAUCCUCAUUAGAAAAAGACACACAGACAAAGGGAUGACCAUUUAAGACACAAUGAGAAGGCAACCCACUGCAAGCCAUGGAAGAAAGCAAACCUGCUGACACUUUGAUCUUGAGCUUGAAUCCUCCAGAAUGUGACAUCAGUGAAUGGGCUGGUCUGGAUGGCUUCACUCAUAUUUCUGGUGCUUUGACAAGGAUGAUUAGAAGACUGGACUUAGUUGGGGCUGAAUCCUUCUUCUUCAACUUGGUGGACUGAUGAAACAUGGACGAAACAGGAGGACAUUUGUUGAAUGUAAGAAGCCAGGCACAAAAAGAAAAUUACGGCAUUAUCUCAGGUAUAUGAAGAUUGCAAAAAAGUUGACCUCAUGGAAACAGAGCAAAAUUGUGAUUACUAGA